rnacentral:rRNA from 1 species
GACGAACGCUGGCGGCGUGCUUAACACAUGCAAGUCGAACGAUGAAGCUGGAGCUUGCUCCAGUGGAUUAGUGGCGAACGGGUGAGUAACACGUGAGCAAUCUGCCCUUGACUCUGGGAUAACUGCGGGAAACUGUAGCUAAUACCGGAUAUGACACCUUGGGGCAUCCCGAGGUGUGGAAAGAAUUUCGGUCAAGGAUGAGCUCGCGGCCUAUCAGCUUGUUGGUGAGGUAACGGCGCACCAAGGCGACGACGGGUAGCCGGCCUGAGAGGGUGACCGGCCACACUGGAACUGAGACGCGGUCCAGACUCCUACGGGAGGCAGCAGUGGGGAAUAUUGCACAAUGGGCGAAAGCCUGAUGCAGCAACGCCGCGUGAGGGAUGACGGCCUUCGGGUUGUAAACCUCUUUUAGCAGGGAAGAAGCGAAAGUGACGGUACCUGCAGAAAAAGCACCGGCUAACUACGUGCCAGCAGCCGCCGUAA